rnacentral:lncRNA from 1 species
CGCCGGAGGUCAGUCGGAAAUCUCGCCGGAGGUCGGCCAGAAACUUCGCCGGAGGUCGGCCGGAAACCUCGCCGGAGGUCCGCUGGAAAUCUCGCCGGAGGUCCGCCGGAGACUGUUCCGAAAUGAGAGUGGUUGUUGACUUUUUAUACUAGUGGCAUUCUUGUAAAUAUAAAAGAGAAAAUCUAAUUUUUUUGUUGGAUGACAGUCUGUAAUUAUGUUGAACUUUAAUACUUAAUACAAAACUUUAUUUAGACUUGGGUGGACUUAUGUGGGUAAAAAUGUUAGGAUGGAUCUAUGUGGGAAAAAAUGUCUCAAAGUGGACUUAUAUGUAAUUGGCCCUAUAUAAAAACACGAGUUAUUCCACAUUAGUUUUGGUUUAAUUGUUUCUUGUUUAAUUUUCUGCAAUGUUUCCAUGUUUUGUGGUUUAGUUACAUCACUACUAUAUUGGACAAAAGUGAAAUGAAAAUGAGGAAAUUUGGUAAUAAACCAAUGUAAAAUGGAUAAUGGAUUUGUCGAAUUUCUUAUUUCUUAAGAAAGAAUCAUUUUCUUUCUUUCUUUUUUAUUAUUUAUUUUAGAAGAAAAAAGAUUUCAAUUCGAACCGCAAAGCAUAUGAAAAAGAGUGUUAUGGACAUUACGACAAGAACGGAUAUGUCUUGAAAACCCAAAUCAGUUUUGCAGCGACAAAGGGAUGAAAAGGGACAAAAACCCUUGUCUUAAUCCUAGCCGUGUGCAAUUUCAUUUAAUAAGAUCUAACGGUUGUGACCCUAUCCCUCAAAUAAGUCUAAAAAAAGGGAUCCCUCACAUUAGAAGGGGGCUAUAUACACACACACACACACACACAAUGCUGAUCAGGUGCGGACGUCCGCACCAAAGUUUUGGUGCGGAUUUUCAUUUUUACACCACUUUUCGAUCGAAUUUCCUCAUCUCCACCGUCUAGUAUCUAGAUAAUAUUGUGUAGACCAUCUCUGCAAAAUUUCAGCCAAUUUGGUAAUCGUUAAGGCCCUCAAAAUUGUGUUUUUCUGGUAUAAACAUGAACCGGACAGAAUUCAGUCCGUCCAUUUGUUUUUCGAGUUUGAGGGCUUUAACGAUUACCAAAUUGGCUGAAAAUU